rnacentral:rRNA from 1 species
CCUACGGGAGGCAGCAGUGGGGAAUAUUGCACAAUGGGGGAAACCCUGAUGCAGCGACGCCGCGUGAGUGAAGAAGUAUUUCGGUAUGUAAAGCUCUAUCAGCAGGGAAGCAAAUGACGGUACCUGAUUAAGAAGCACCGGCUAACUACUAGCCAGCAGCCGCGGUAAUACGUAGGGGGCAAGGGUUAUCCGGAUUUACUGGGUGUAAAGGGAACGUAGACGGCAGAACAAGUCUGGAGUGAAAUGCCGGGGCUUAACCCCCGAACUGCGUUGGAAACUGUCCAUCUAGAGUGCAGGAGAGGUAAGUGGAAUUCCUAGUGUAGCGGUGAAAUGCGUAGAUAUUAGGAGGAACACCAGUGGCGAAGGCGGCUUACUGGACUGUAACUGACGUUGAGGCUCGAAAGCGUGGGGAGCGAACAGGAUUAGAUACCCGAGUAGUC